GACGAACGCUGGCGGCGUGCCUAAUACAUGCAAGUCGAACGCUGAAGGAGGAGCUUGCUCUUCUGGAUGAGUUGCGAACGGGUGAGUAACGCGUAGGUAACCUGCCUGGUAGCGGGGGAUAACUAUUGGAAACGAUAGCUAAUACCGCAUAAGAGUAGAUGUUGCAUGACAUUUACUUAAAAGGUGCAAUUGCAUCACUACCAGAUGGACCUGCGUUGUAUUAGCUAGUUGGUGGGGUAACGGCUUACCAAGGCGACGAUACAUAGCCGACCUGAGAGGGGGAUCGGCCAAACUGGGAACGAGACACGGCCCAGACUCCUACGGGAGGCAGCAGUAGGGAAUCUUCGGCAAUGGACGGAAGUCUGACCGGGCAACGCCGCGGGAGUGAAGAAGGGUUUCGGAUCGUAAAGCUCUGUUGUAAGAGAAGAACGAGUGUGAGAGGGGAAAGUUCACACUGUGACGGUAUCUUACCAGAAAGGGACGGCUAACUACGUG
rnacentral:rRNA from 1 species